UACGUAGGGGGCGAGCGUUUGUCCGGAUUUAUUGGGCGUAAAGAGCUCGUAGGCGGUUUGGUAAGUCGGAUGUGAAAUCUCCAGGCUCAACUUGGAGGGGUCAUUCGAUACUGCCGUGACUAGAGGUCGGUAGGGGAGUGUGGAAUUCCUGGUGGAGCGGUGAAAUGCGCAGAUAUCAGGAGGAACACCCGUAGCGAAGGCGGCACUCUGGGCCGAUUCUGACACUGAGGAGCGAAAGCGUGGGGAGCGAACAGG
rnacentral:rRNA from 1 species